ensembl:lncRNA
UUUUUGUAUCUUCUUUGUUGUUUUAGACCCGCUGUGUGGCUCCAUCCCUCGUUUGAAGGUGGGUUUCUCUGUACUGUGUGAUUCUGCAGUUCUGUACCAGUGUCCCUCUGGCUAUGUGCUACAUGGGGCUACACACAUCACCUGUGACCCCAACACACACUUAUGGACUCCACAACCACCCACCUGUCAAGAUAUAGAUGAAUGUUUCACACAGCCUUCUGUCUGCCCUCCAAACCUGCAGUGUAUCAACACACCAGGCUCCUUCAUCUGCUCAGGUAUGCACUGUCCCAGACAAAGACAUAGAGCUCUUAUGAAUUCUUUGUCUUG